rnacentral:rRNA from 1 species
GUGUAUCAGUAAAAUGCCCUAAAGGCCUCAAAUUCUGUGUGAUCUUAGAAGCUAAGUAGGGUCAGUCCUGGUUAGUACAUGGAUGGGAGACCACCAAGGAAUCCCAGCACCUGUAAUCU